rnacentral:tRNA from 1 species
GGGCCCGUAGCUUAGCUUGGUGGAGCGCCCGGCUGAUAGAACCGGGAGGUCACGGGUUCAAAUCCCGUCGGGCCCA